AGUUUGGUGCCUGACGAAAAGGAUUACCUCGAUACGGUAAAUCAUGCAGCUUAACUGCUCAAACUA
rnacentral:tRNA from 1 species